AAUUGUAUUUUUACAAUAUUAGAAAAUUUCUCUUGAAUCUGAGAAAAAAAAAGAGAAGAAAAUGAAUCCUAACCUAUCCCUCCAUGGAAGAACAACGAAAAGCCACAUAUGUAUGUAUACAUACAAUAUUAUCAGUAGUGGGAUAAUGUGAGAAAAAAGAGAAGAAUACGAUGGAAGAGGUGAAAUCUCAAUGACCCACGGAACCACUGUCUGUAAAAACUUGUUCAGAUAUGCAAGUGUGUAGUUUAAUCCGGUUCACUCGCUUCCUUCGUCUCUGACAUAGUUCAAGCUUCACAAUCACGUACCGAUUACAAAUUUGACAAUUUAUAAUGAUCAGAUAACAUAAGUUUUUAUACCAAUUAUAAUUAUAAUUAUUCCAACAAACUAUUUUUACUAACGAUAAAAAUGUUUUAUUAAUUUUA